CCUACGGGAGGCAGCAGUAGGGAAUCUUCCACAAUGGGCGAAAGCCUGAUGGAGCAACGCCGCGUGGGUGAAGAAGGUCUUCGGAUCGUAAAACCCUGUUGUUAGAGAAGAAAGUGCGUGAGAGUAACUGUUCCCGGUUUCGACGGUAUC
rnacentral:rRNA from 1 species